GAUGAACGCUGGCGGCGUGCCUAACACAUGCAAGUCGAGCGAACGGACGCGAAGCUUGCUUUUCUGAUGUUAGCGGCGGACGGGUGAGUAACACGUGGGUAACCUACCUCUAAGACUGGGAUAACUUCGGGAAACCGGAGCUACUACCGGAUAAUAUUUUGAACCGCAUGGUUCAAAAGUGAAUGACGGUCUUGCUGUCACUUAUAGCUGGAUCCGCGCUGCAUUAGCUAGUUGGUAAGGUAACGGCUUACCAAGGCAACGAUGCAUAGCCGACCUGAGAGGGUGAUCGGCCACACUGGAACUGAGACACGGUCCAGACUCCUACGGGAGGCAGCAGUAGGGAAUCUUCCGCAAUGGGCGAAAGCCUGACGGAGCAACGCCGCGUGAGUGAAGAAGGUCUUCGGAUCGUAAAACUCUGUUAUUAGGGAAGAACAUAUGUGUAAGGAACUGUGCACAUCUUGACGGUACCUAAUCAGAAAGCCACGGCUAACUACGUG
rnacentral:rRNA from 1 species